AAAGAAUUAGCAAAGCCAAGCAAGAUCCCAACUUUGACUUGCCCUCUCUUUGGAAUCGGACGGCCACCUUGUUCUCUGGCAUCUCUCCUAGUUCCAUUUCCGCCGUUGAUCAUGCUGACUUUUCCUCUUCCUUCCAUUUUCUGCUUAUCGAAGUCAAUCAAAGGUCAAAAGUCUUCUGGAAAGUCUGUGAAGAAAAAAGUGAGUAAAAGUCUUUAGGAAAGUCUAGAGAGAAGAAGAAAUGACUAAACUGAAGAACAAGAAUGUUUGAUUUGUUGCAAGUUACAACCACAAGAGGAUCAAUAGGUCUUUAUAUAAACGUUAAAGUGUUCUCCAAACUAACCUUGGGUUUGGCUAAUAUUACAACUUUGAUCAAUUUAUUAUUAACUAUCUGCUUGAACGUUUUGCCCCUCGCCGCCCCCCCUUGGAUUAGAUUAAGAUCUUACUUUAAUUUAUUUUAUUAAUUAUCUCGAUCUUAUUCGAUUUUGUUUAAUAGGGGUUUUGUUGAUCAGAUUACGG
rnacentral:lncRNA from 1 species